AUGAAGAGAGUGUCUUCGGAGCUGAACAAAAGCAUUUUUGAUGCCUCUGAUGCGCUUAGUUCUAUCCCCGGGACUCGAGCUAGUGAGAACAAGUUGAGGGGAACGGUGAAGAAGUUCGUCAAAAAAUGUCGCAAGCUUGUGGGCCUGCUUGGGUGUGCCACCUCCUCUGCUGAUGUGAUUGCUCCUGCAGGACCGAUGCGUAGCCUCGCUUCAUCGAGCCAGGCCGCCUCAUCGUCUAUGGCGGUUCAAGAUGACGAGGAGGAGGGCGAGGACGAUGAUGAUGAAGAGGAAGAUGAAGAAGAAGGCGAGGAAGAGGGAGCAGAAGAAGAACAUGGUGAAGAAGAGGAAGAGGACGAUGAGUAA
rnacentral:rRNA from 1 species